rnacentral:rRNA from 1 species
GGUUGAUCCUGCCAGUAGUCAUAUGCUUGUCUCAAAGAUUAAGCCAUGCAUGUCCAAGUAUAAGCAUUUAUACAGCGAAACUGCGAAAGGCUCAUUAUAUCAGUUACAACUUACAUGAUAGUGACUUGCUAUAUGGAUAACCGUGGUAAUUCUAGAGCUAAUACAUGCGCAAAGGUUCCUUCGGGGACGGUAUUUAUUAGAUUUAAGCCAGCCCGGGCGACCGGUUUGUGGUGAUUCAUGGUAACUGUGCGAAUCGCUUCGGCGAUGGAUCAUUCAGAUUUCUGCCCUAUCAA